rnacentral:lncRNA from 1 species
GCGCGAAGGCCUCGGGUGUGGCCCGGCAGUUAGGUGUUUUCCCUGCAUAUGGGUCUGGGUAUGCCUGAUGCCAGAAGAGGAGCGUAUAGAUGCCCUUUAGCUGGGGUUACAGAGAAAACAUCUGACUUGUAACUCCGGUUCACUUCAGUUUGACUGACAGCAUGCUCUUGGGUCUUAGUGGCAUUCAAAAGGGAGUGGACACCAUCAGCUGACAGAAUACUGAGCGUGGCCCCGGCAAGCAUGAGGCUGAUACGAUUUCCCAGCAAACUAUUUGGGGAGUCUCUUAGACUUUUAGUCUAGGACUUCAUGCACCAGACUCUAUACACCACAGAUCCUUUUGAGAAUGUGCAGGUGUGAAACAAUUAGCUAGCAGGAGAUAGCCGCCCAUCAGAAACUGAUUUAAAAAAAAAAAAAAACAGACAAUAGAUAAACAUAAAGACCUUCCAUGGGAGCAACUGCAAUUGGCAUCUAGUCAUUGAGAAAUCAUUCAGCUUCAUCCCAAAUGAGAGAAAGGCAAAACUUUCUAAUCUAGAGGAAGAAAUGAUAUGCGUGUAUAAUUAACUUCAAAACGAUGGCAGUGUGUAAUCAAUCAUGGAUUCUUCAGAGAUAGCUGGGUGGUGGGUUAGAUCUGCUCACGCAGGAAGAGCAUGUAUAGUCGGAGCAUCUGUGGCUGGCACUGGAGAACUGGAGCAGAUCCUCCUCUGGCUUGAUUGUUUUCUGCUUCAAAUACAGAAAUCACAGAAGAGCUCGGAUUUUGUCUCAGGAAUAAUUUAACAUAAAUUACAACGUAUGAAACAUGGCAAGCUAACAUAGCUAUUAACAAGGUAAAAUUUCAAAGACCAUA